CGUCUAUUGAUAUGCUAAAAUUAUGAGGUGUUUCUAAAAAAUCUCCGACUCAAUUUUUUUUUAAAACUUUCAUAUGCUAAUCUUUGGUACAAAAUGUAUGUGUUUUGAAAAAAUUAGGCACUUCUAUCGAGUAGAAAUGGAGAAUGGUCAUCUUUACUUUGUAUGUCCCCACUAUGGGGGCCCUGUUCCUCCCUUUACCUUGUUUCUGAAGAACACGAUAGUAAUUCAUCUCUCGAAAAAAUUAUCCACUAAAAAUAGUUGAAACAUAUCAAAUAUAUGUUAAGACAUCAAUAAAUUUUACUGGAUGUGAUUUUUUUUAAGCAGAAUUGCCGGAAUCGACCUCAACCGAAGUUGUGUCAGUAUAUAGAUAAACGUUGUCAAUUUCCGGCGCCGAAAAUGCCAACGUAAAAUGUCAUUAAAAGUUGGAUUCUUUUCUUCUUUGUAGCAAUUUUGUUAAUCUUAAUGCCAAGGAAGGCAUGCAAUAUGUUGAAUCCAUACCAACGUUAUACCAUACUUGGUACCCUAGAGUGUUAGGCUUACACAUCAUGGGACCCCGACUGAUUUGUUGAAAUCAUGAUCGUACUUUAACUAAAAGUUUACAAAGUAACUUAUAAAAAAACAAGAUUCAUUCCGUGAAUAUUGCUACCUGCCGCUGAGUUUUUAAUGAACAUUUAAUCUGAUUCGGUCAUAGAAAAGCUGUUGAUAUUCCUUUCGUUAAUAUAAUUAUCGUUGUGUGUUUUGUUUGGUUUCUUAUUUUUAAAAGGGGGCGUUGGCAGGGGCAUGCUCUUUUUAUUUUGUCAAAGGCAUGUGUCAUUUUUAGGGCUCAUGGUUCUCAAUCUCUGGUUACAGUGGAGGUUCAAACUCAUCAUGACUUUAAAACUUAUUAAAAAUUCAUUUUGCAGUUUCUUGGGGCAUUGACAUACUGACUAUCAAUAUAUCUAUGCAUAGGAGGGAUGACCAAUUCUAUUCAAAGUAGGUGGUGGGAAUUCAAAAGAAAUCCUGGUCCGUUCACAAUAGUACUUCAGUGGCGGAUCCAGAACUUUUCCUAAAAGGGGGGGGGGGGCUCCAGUCAUGCUUCAAUGAUUCCCUAUAUAAUCAACCAAAUUUUUCCGAAAAAGUGGGGCCCCCUGGAUCCGCCUAUGUACUUGUUCGCCCUGGGUGCUUUGCCCUUAUACCCAUUCGCCCUGUUCUUUUUUUUUAUUUUGUUGUCCUCUUUAAUGUAAAUUAUUUGAAUGAAGUAUGUAAAAUUUGGUUGACAAUUUUGUGCAUAAACCACAUAACGCCAAAACGUUGGAGAUUUUGUCUGGAUUGACUAUUCAUUUGCAUCCAUUGCUACACAUGCAUUUAUUUCUAAACAUAUUUUCACUUUUGCAUACAGAUGCAGAAUAUUCCUUUUCAGCCUGUCUUGUGUCAUGUAACAGGGUCUUUUAUACAUGUGGCUCACUAACUGCUUUUUGUUCAAGUUAAUCUUUUUAGACAUUUGAUAUCUGGUGGAGAGUUGUCUUAUUGGCAUUGAUCAUACCCCAACUUUCUAAUUUUCAUAUUACUGAAAGGUAACUGUAUUUAUUACCUUGAAUUGAAUAAAUAACUACUUACAAAAAACAAUUCCACAUGUAAAAAAAAUAAAUGAAAUAUAAUUUCAAAUGAUACAAUGUAGCUAGCCUUAUGGAAUAUUUUGUAUGUUGUGCAUCUCUUUUCUCCUUUUAGUGACGGGGGCCUAUUUUGUAUGGUUGGCUGCUUCAUAUCUGGUGAUGGGAUAUACAUUUAGUUAUGCAGUGUUGAAUACUGGUCCCCACCCCCUAAUUGAUAGGAAUAAACAAAACAAAAAUUCUUUCACUCAAUCUCAA
rnacentral:lncRNA from 1 species